ACUGACCGAUAGUGAACCAGUACCGUGAGGGAAAGGCGAAAAGAACCCCGGCGAGGGGAGUGAAAAAGAACCUGAAACCGUGUACGUACAAGCAGUGGGAGCACAGAGCAAUCUGUGUGACUGCGUACCUUUUGUAUAAUGGGUCAGCGACUUAUAUUCUGUAGCAAGGUUAACCGAAUAGGGGAGCCGAAGGGAAACCGAGUCUUAACUGGGCGUUAAGUUGCAGGGUAUAGACCCGAAACCCGGUGAUCUAGCCAUGGGCAGGUUGAAGGUUGGGUAACACUAACUGGAGGACCGAACCGACUAAUGUUGAAAAAUUAGCGGAUGACUUGUGGCUGGGGGUGAAAGGCCAAUCAAACCGGGAGAUAGCUGGUUCUCCCCGAAAGCUAUUUAGGUAGCGCCUCGUGAAUUCAUCUCCGGGGGUAGAGCACUGUUUCGGCAAGGGGGUCAUCCCGACUUACCAACCCGAUGCAAACUGCGAAUACCGGAGAAUGUUAUCACGGGAGACACACGGCGGGUGCUAACGUCCGUCGUGAAGAGGGAAACAACCCAGACCGCCAGCUAAGGUCCCAAAGUCAUGGUUAAGUGGGAAACGAUGUGGGAAGGCCCAGACAGCCAGGAUGUUGGCUUAGAAGCAGCCAUCAUUUAAAGAAAGCGUAAUAGCUCACUGGUCGAGUCGGCCUGCGCGGAAGAUGUAACGGGGCUAAACCAUGCACCGAAGCUGCGGCAGCGACACUGUGUGUUGUUGGGUAGGGGAGCGUUCUGUAAGCCUGUGAAGGUGUGCUGUGAGGCAUGCUGGAGGUAUCAGAAGUGCGAAUGCUGACAUAAGUAACGAUAAAGCGGGUGAAAAGCCCGCUCGCCGGAAGACCAAGGGUUCCUGUCCAACGUUAAUCGGGGCAGGGUGAGUCGACCCCUAAGGCGAGGCCGAAAGGCGUAGUCGAUGGGAAACAGGUUAAUAUUCCUGUACUUGGUGUUACUGCGAAGGGGGGACGGAGAAGGCUAUGUUGGCCGGGCGACGGUUGUCCCGGUUUAAGCGUGUAGGCUGGUUUUCCAGGCAAAUCCGGAAAAUCAAGGCUGAGGCGUGAUGACGAGGCACUACGGUGCUGAAGCAACAAAUGCCCUGCUUCCAGGAAAAGCCUCUAAGCAUCAGGUAACAUCAAAUCGUACCCCAAACCGACACAGGUGGUCAGGUAGAGAAUACCAAGGCGCUUGAGAGAACUCGGGUGAAGGAACUAGGCAAAAUGGUGCCGUAACUUCGGGAGAAGGCACGCUGAUAUGUAGGUGAAGUCCCUCGCGGAUGGAGCUGAAAUCAGUCGAAGAUACCAGCUGGCUGCAACUGUUUAUUAAAAACACAGCACUGUGCAAACACGAAAGUGGACGUAUACGGUGUGACGCCUGCCCGGUGCCGGAAGGUUAAUUGAUGGGGUCAGCGCAAGCGAAGCUCUUGAUCGAAGCCCCGGUAAACGGCGGCCGUAACUAUAACGGUCCUAAGGUAGCGAAAUUCCUUGUCGGGUAAGUUCCGACCUGCACGAAUGGCGUAAUGAUGGCCAGGCUGUCUCCACCCGAGACUCAGUGAAAUUGAACUCGCUGUGAAGAUGCAGUGUACCCGCGGCAAGACGGAAAGACCCCGUGAACCUUUACUAUAGCUUGACACUGAACAUUGAGCCUUGAUGUGUAGGAUAGGUGGGAGGCUUUGAAGUGUGGACGCCAGUCUGCAUGGAGCCGACCUUGAAAUACCACCCUUUAAUGUUUGAUGUUCUAACGUGGACCCGUGAUCCGGGUUGCGGACAGUGUCUGGUGGGUAGUUUGACUGGGGCGGUCUCCUCCUAAAGAGUAACGGAGGAGCACGAAGGUUGGCUAAUCCUGGUCGGACAUCAGGAGGUUAGUGCAAUGGCAUAAGCCAGCUUGACUGCGAGCGUGACGGCGCGAGCAGGUGCGAAAGCAGGUCAUAGUGAUCCGGUGGUUCUGAAUGGAAGGGCCAUCGCUCAACGGAUAAAAGGUACUCCGGGGAUAACAGGCUGAUACCGCCCAAGAGUUCAUAUCGACGGCGGUGUUUGGCACCUCGAUGUCGGCUCAUCACAUCCUGGGGCUGAAGUAGGUCCCAAGGGUAUGGCUGUUCGCCAUUUAAAGUGGUACGCGAGCUGGGUUUAGAACGUCGUGAGACAGUUCGGUCCCUAUCUGCCGUGGGCGCUGGAGAACUGAGGGGGGCUGCUCCUAGUACGAGAGGACCGGAGUGGACGCAUCACUGGUGUUCGGGUUGUCAUGCCAAUGGCACUGCCCGGUAGCUAAAUGCGGAAGAGAUAAGUGCUGAAAGCAUCUAAGCACGAAACUUGCCCCGAGAUGAGUUCUCCCUGACCCUUUAAGGGUCCUGAAGGAACGUUGAAGACGACGACGUUGAUAGGCCGGGUGUGUAAGCGCAGCGAUGCGUUGAGCUAACCGGUACUAAUGAACCGUGAGGCUUAACCUUACAACGCCGAAGGUGUUU
rnacentral:rRNA from 1 species